GAUGAACGCUGGCGGCGUGCUUAACACAUGCAAGUCGAACGGAAAGGCCCCUGCUUGCUCUGGUGCUUCAGUGGCGAACGGGUGAGUAACACGUGGGCGAUCUGCCCUGCACUCCGGGAUAAGCCCGGGAAACUGCGUCUAAUACCGGAUACGAGCUGCGUAUGCAUGUUCUUCAGCUGAGAAUUAUUUCGGUGGGGGAUGAGCUCGCGGCCUAUCAGCUUGUUGGUGGGGUAAUGGCUCACCAAGGCGUCGACGGGUAGCCGGCCUGAGAGGGUGAACGGCCACACUGGGACUGAGAUACGGCCCAGACUCCUACGGGAGGCAGCAGUGGGGAAUAUUGCACAAUGGGCGAAAGCCUGAUGCAGCAACGCCGCGUGGGGGAUGACGGCCUUCGGGUUGUAAACUCCUUUCGCUAGGGACGAAGCGAAAGUGACGGUACCUGGAGAAAAAGCACCGGCUAACUACGUG
rnacentral:rRNA from 1 species